rnacentral:rRNA from 1 species
UACGUAGGGGGCGAGCGUUGUCCGAAUUUACUGGGCGUAAAGAGCGCGUAGGCGGGUUCUUAAGUGAGAGGUGAAAGGUUCAGGGCUCAACCCGAACAGUGCCUUUCAUACUGGGAGCCUUGAGUGUGGGAGAGGCGAGUGGAAUUUCUGGUGUAGCGGUGAAAUGCGUAGAUAUCAGAAGGAACACCCAUGGCGAAGGCAGCUCGCUGGCCUACGACUGACGCUGAGGCGCGAAAGCGUGGGGAGCAAACGGG